rnacentral:rRNA from 1 species
UACGUAGGGGGCAAGCGUUGUCCGGAUUUAUUGGGCGUAAAGAGCGUGUAGGCGGCCAAGCAGGUCAGCUGUGAAAACUCGAGGCUCAACCUCGAGACGUCGGUUGAAACCGCUUGGCUAGAGUCCGGAAGAGGAGAGUGGAAUUCCCGGUGUAGCGGUGAAAUGCGUAGAGAUCGGGAAGAACGCCGGCGGCGAAAGCGACUCUCUGGUCGGACCCUGACGCUGAGGCGCGAAAGCUAGGGGAGCAAACGGGG